rnacentral:rRNA from 1 species
CCCAAGAGAUCGGGAUAACACCUGGAAACAGAUGCUAAUACCGGAUAACAACAGAUGAUGCCUAUCAACUGUUUAAAAGAUGGUUCUGCUAUCACUCUUGGAUGGACCUGCGGUGCAUUAGCUAGUUGGUAGGGUAACGGCCUACCAAGGCGAUGAUGCAUAGCCGAGUUGAGAGACUGAUCGGCCACAUUGGGACUGAGACACGGCUCAAACUCCUACGGGAGGCAGCAGCA